UACGUAGGGUGCAAGCGUUAAUCGGAAUACUGGGCGUAAAGCGUGCGCAGGCGGUUUUGUAAGUUUGUCGUGAAAGCCCCGGGCUCAACCUGGGAAUUGCGAUGAAGACUGCAAGGCUUGAAUCUGGCAGAGGGGGGUAGAAUUCCACGUGUAGCAGUGAAAUGCGUAGAGAUGUGGAGGAACACCGAUGGCGAAGGCAGCCCCCUGGGAUAACACUGACGCUCAUGCACGAAAGCGUGGGGAGCAAACAGG
rnacentral:rRNA from 1 species